rfam:Triticum aestivum genome assembly, contig: Triticum_aestivum_CS42_TGACv1_scaffold_032183_1BL
UUUGUACUCCCUCCGUCCCAAAAUUCUUUUCUUAAAUUUGUCUAAAUACGGAUGUAUCUAGUUACAUUUUAGUGUUAGAUACAUCUGUAUCUAAACAAAUGUAAGACAAGAAUUUUGGGACGGAGUUACUGGAGUUACUG